rnacentral:rRNA from 1 species
GAAUAUUGGACAAUGGGCGAAAGCCUGAUCCAGCCAUGCCGCGUGUGUGAAGAAGGUCUUCGGAUUGUAAAGCACUUUAAGCUGGGAGGAAGGGCAGUAAGCGAAUACCUUGCUGUUUUGACGUUACCGACAGAGUAAGCACCGGCUACCUCUGGGCCAGCAGCCGCGGUAAUACAGAGGGGGCAAGCGUUAAUCGGUAUUACUGGGCGUAAAGCGCGCGUAGGUGGUUCGUUAAGUUGGAUGUGAAAUCCCCGGGCGCAACCUGGGAGCGGCAUCCAAAACUGGCGAGCUAGAGUAGGGCAGAGGGAGGUGGAAUUUCCUGUGUAGCGGUGAAAUGCGUAGAUAUAGGAAGGAACACCAGUGGCGAAGGCGACCACCUGGGGUCAUACUGACACUGAGGUGCGAAAGCGUGGGGAGCAAACAG